rnacentral:rRNA from 1 species
CAGUAGCCGCGGUAAUACGAGGGGGGCAAGCGUUGUUCGGAAUUAUUGGGCGUAAAGGGUGCGUAGGCGGUUUGGCAAGUUUGGUGUGAAAUCUUCGGGCUCAACUCGAAGUCUGCAUCGAAAACUGCCGGGCUUGAGUAUGGGAGAGGUGAGUGGAAUUUCCGGUGUAGCGGUGAAAUGCGUAGAUAUCGGAAGGAACACCUGUGGCGAAAGCGGCUCACUGGACCAUAACUGACGCUGAUGCACGGAAGCUAGGGGAGCAAACAGGAUUAGAUACCCCCGUAGUCCCUGUCUCUUAUAC